ensembl:lncRNA
CCCUAGUCUCUUCUAUUUUUCUUCCUUCUGUUUCAUCUCAUUCUCCAGUUCUACCCAACCACCCUCAUUGGUAAUCCCUGAUGGCCCAUCCCCAGAAGCAGCUUCCGGUGCCUCCCGAAAUAUUUACCCAAAGGCUUAUCUCUCCAGGCUCCUUCCCUCCGGAUUUCCAUUCUGUUUAUAAAUAUUGAAGCUGAAAUGUAAACCACUUUGAAACUCUUCUCCUCAAGGCCUGCAUGUCCUGGAUGCUUUUCAAGCACAGACUAAGGCAACUGGGGAAAUACCAGGAAGCUCCUUUACUCUCCUUUUCCUGAUUCCUAUUCCUGUGACCGAAGGCAUGACUGGAAAAGAAUGCAACCAUGCCUUGAGAGCUGGAAGAAAGGGGCAGCCUUGAAGACAAUACUCUGUGGACAGAUCCCUGAGCUUUCCUGCAGUUGUGUAGGAAGAGGGCAUCAGUGGCUUCACUUGGUUUAACAGUCACAGCCUUAGACAAGAAACAAAUGUAAAAAUACGGAAGACAGGCACACGUAGACCAAGAGAAGGAGAGAGAAACAGCCCCUUGCUUCACUUGAUCCACAUCUGGUGUUAGAAGGCUUCAGACAACAAAGACACAAUUCUCAAUCUAGGUUCUUGAUGCAUGCCUUUUAAGACUAGUUAAAGCCCAACAGUUUACCCUGGUUUUGCAUUUCUGCUUCUUAGUAUGGUAAAGGCAUCUGCCCAUGUCAGUAGUUCCGGAGGAUGAUUUCUUCAAGUUCUGUAAUUGUAUUGCCGUGAGAGAUGAAGAAGGAACAUACAUCAAAGAUGUCUGUGAAGGGCACAUGUGGUGAUAAAGCAAAAUAAAAUUGUCUACUG